ensembl:ncRNA M03A8.6 ncRNA
UCUUCAAAUAAUACAGUCGCCGCAUUGUCCUUUACCAUUUACUGUCUUCGUUCUCUCAACCUACAGUGCCGAUGCCUACAUUGCCUCUUUGUUCACGGCGCAUCCUUCGUUUUUCUUCCCUCUCUACUUUUCCGCUUUUGCUAGGUUCUCUCCCAGUUUGAUACAUGUAUCGUGUCUCUGAUGUCAGGUGACUGCAGUUGUC